GUACCAGUACUUGGGUUCGCGUACUCGUACUCGGGCAUCCAGUUUUGAUACCCAAUUUUUAGUACCUCAAAACUCGAGCGUUGGAUUCUCACUUUUCUACUGCGUACCGGUACUCAGUUUCCAGUACCGAUACCCAAUACAAACUUAGUACCGGUGCUCAGGUUUGAUUCCUCAAAACCCGAGAGCUCAUUUUUCUCAUUUUGUAUUACGUACCGGUAUCCAGAUUCCAGUACUGGUAUUCAAUAGAAAAUCUGCACUUUGACAGAUUUUACUUUUUCGAAUCCGUUUUCGCGUCCAGUUUGCGCCAAAAACACUCGAAUACUCUCUCAUACUUCGCUAGAACUAUUUUAUUAGCUUUUUAAGCUAGUUCCCAUCAAAACUUCAUAAUUGUAGAAGUUCGGUAUAUUACACUCUUCACCCCUUAAAAGAAUUUCGUCCACAAAACUAAAAUCACAGCUCAACUCGACUUCUCAA
rnacentral:lncRNA from 1 species